CCAAUCCUGACACAGGGAGGUAGUGACAAGAAAUAACAAUACAGGGCUAAUGUCUUGUAAUUGGAAUGAUGGUGACCCAAACCCUCACCAGAGUAGCAAUUGGAGGGCAAGUCUGGUGCCAGCAGCCGCGGUAAUUCCAGCUCCAAUAGCGUAUAUUAAACUUGUUGCAGUUAAAAAGCUCGUAGUUGAAUUUUAGCGUGUUCGAGUUUGCCAUUCGUUUGGCUUUUUCGAGUUCGCUUUUGGGUUUUCCCUUUUUACUUUGAGAAAAUUAGAGUGUUUCAAGCAGACUUUUGUCUUGAAUACUUCAGCAUGGAAUAAUAGAGUAGGACUUUGGUUCUAUUUUGUUGGUUAUUGAACCUUAGUAAUGGUUAAUAGGAACGGUUGGGGGCAUUCGUAUUUAACUGUCAGAGGUGAAAUUCUUAGAUUUGUUAAAGACGAACUACUGCGAAAGCAUUUGCCAAGGACGUUUCCWUUAAUCAAGAACGAAAGUUAGGGGAUCGAAGACGAUCAGAUCMCCKYCSUAGUCCUAACCAUAAACCAUGCCGACUAGUGAUUGGAGGUCGUCGUUUUGCUGACCCCUUCAGGAACUUGAGAGAAAUCAAAGUCUUUGGGUUCUGGGG
rnacentral:rRNA from 1 species